AGUUAAAUUCUCAUUUAAAUCUGAUAAACAAAAGUCAUUUCUAACAUUUUUUAACCAAGUCUUUUUAGGUAUACCUCUACUUUUUUUAACAAAAGUUAAAUCUAAUACUUCUAAUUUCCUAACCAGGUAAUCAAAAAGGCCACCAUUUUAUGUGACCAAACCAUCUAAGACGACUCCCUCUAAUCUUAUCUUCCAUUGGAGCUACUCCAAGCUGAAUGAGUCGCUAAAAAGCUUCUUCGCCUUCGUCGACGACGUUUCCUCCCUGUCGGAUCGGAAGUCACGACGGUUCGCAUCAUUAUUCUUGUUCGUGCUGGAUCGAAGGCAACCAAACAACCCUUAAAAAAGCACCGAAGGGAGAAGGAGCUCAAGAGGAUUGAAUAUACUGAAGCAAUGUUGUAGCCCCGACUGCCUCCUUGAAAGAACAUGAAGCCCUUUGAUGUGAUUACAAGUGAUUAUGAUCAAGGGAUUUCGGUUCAUCAUGCAGGUGCUACAGAGGGCAAGACAGCCAAACUAAUCUGACUAAAUUUGAGAACGCCAUCAUCGAGUUCAUUAUUUGUGAACUCUUAGGUGUUAACAUGUUGAAACCGAAGUGACAUCUAGGGCUGCAAAUGAAUCGAGUAGAGACGAACAUGUGCUUGUUCAUGUUUGAACUCGUUUAUUAUCAGCUUACUUGAACUCAGUUCAUGCUCUCAAUUCUAGCUUUUAUGUUUGUAAUCAAGCUUUGUUCGUUUAAAAUGACAAAUGUUUAUGUUUGGUUCAUGA